rnacentral:rRNA from 1 species
GAUGAACGCUGGCGGCGUGCUUAACACAUGCAAGUCGAACGGACUUAUGAUGAAACCUAGUGAUUCGUAAGUUAGUGGCGGACGGGUGAGUAACGCGUGGAUAACCUGCCUUACACUGGGGGAUAACACUUAGAAAUAGGUGCUAAUACCGCAUAAGCGCACAGGACCGCAUGGUCUGGUGUGAAAAACUCCGGUGGUGUAAGUUGGAUCCGCGUCUGAUUAGCUAGUUGGUGAGGUAACGGCUCACCAAGGCGACGAUCAGUAGCCGGCCUGAGAGGGUGAACGGCCACAUUGGGACUGAGACACGGCCCAAACUCCUACGGGAGGCAGCAGUGGGGAAUAUUGCACAAUGGGCGAAAGCCUGAUGCAGCGACGCCGCGUGAGUGAAGAAGUAUUUCGGUAUGUAAAGCUCUAUCAGCAAGGAAGAAAAUGACGGUACUUGACUAAGAAGCCCCGGCUAACUACGUGCCAGCCGCCGCCGUAA